rnacentral:tRNA from 1 species
AGGGGAUUAGUUAAAUGGUAUAAUAAUGGUCUCCAAAACCACUGUUGCGAGUUCGAUUCUUGCAUCCCCUGCCA